AUACUUACCUGGCAAGGGAGAUAAUCACGAAGGUUGGUUUUCCCAGGGUGACGCUCACUCAGUGCAAUCCAGGUGUGCUCACCUCUCCAAUGCAGGAAACCUGAUGGCAUAAUCUGC